rnacentral:rRNA from 1 species
UUGAUCCUGGGGUCAUUGGAUUAGAACGCCAGUGGAUGCUUUGCUGUUACGCAAGUCGAACGGCAGCACGGACUUCGGUCUGGUGGCGAGUGGCGAACGGUGAGUAAUGUAUCGGAACGUGCCUAGUGUGGAUAACUACGCGAAAGCCAGUAGCUAAUACCGCACACACUGGGGAAAGUGGGGACCUUUCGGGCUCGCACUAUUAGAGCGAAGCCGAUAUCGGAUUAGCUAGUUGGUGGGGUGGUAACGGCUCACCAAGCGACGAUCCGUAGGCUGGUUUGAGAGGACGACCAGCCACACUGGAUCGUUAGGAGACACGGCCGACUCCUACGGAGGCAGCAGUGGGGAAUUUGAGCCAAUGGGGAAACCCCGAUCCAGCCAUCCUGUGCGUGUGCGAUGAAGCCAGUUGGUAGCAUGGCAGGAAAGAACGGCACUGAUAAUACCCUGUGCAACUGACGGGUACCUGCAGAAUUAAGCACCGGCUAACUACGCCAGCAGCCGCGGUAAUACGGUAGUGCAAGCGUUAACGAAUUGAUUGGGUAAAGCGUGCGCAGGCGGUUCGGAAAGGAAAGAUGUGGAAAUCCCAGAGCUAACUUUUGAACUGCAUUUUUAACUACCGAGCUAGAGGUGUGUCAGAGGGAGGUGGAAUUCCGCGUGUAGUGAGAAAUGCGUGACAGUGAGGAACACUGGAUGGCGAAGGCAGCCUCCAUGGGAUAACACUGACGCCUGAGAACAAAAGCGUGGGGAGCAAAACAUAGGAUUAGAUACCCCAGAAGGCCCACGCUCUAAACGAUGUCAACUAGCUGUUGGGGCCGCCUUUGCCCAGAAGCAGCUGUCAUGUGAAGUUGACCGUUUUCUGGGGAGUACGGUCGCAAGAUUAAAACUCAGAGGAAUUGACGGGGACCGCAAUAAGCGGUGGAUGAUGUGGAUUAAUUCGAUGCAACGCGAAAAACCUACCUACCCUGACAUGUCUGGAAUCCCGAAGAGAUUUGGGAGUGCCUUUUCGCAGGCAUAACCGGAACACAGGUGCUGCAUGGUCACGUCAGCUCGUGUCAGAUACAGUUAAGUCCCGCAACGAGCGCAACCCGUCAUUAGUUGCUACGAAAGGCACUCUAAUGAGACUGCCAGGUACAAACCGGAGGCGAAGGUGGGGAUACGACGUCAAGUCCUCAUGGCCCUUGAGGCGGGCAGGGCUUCACACGUCAUACAAUGGUCGGGACAGAGGGUCGCCAAACCAGCAGGGGGAGCCAAUCCCAGAAACCCGAUCGUAUCCGGAUCGCAGUCUGCAACCUCGACUGUGGAAGUCAGGAACGCUAGUAAUCGCGGAUCAGCAUGUCGCGGUGAAUACGUUCGGCCUGUACACACCGCCAGUCAUCACUGCGAGUGGGUUUUACCAGAAGGCAGUUAGCCCAACCGCAAGGAGGCGAUUACUACUGGGGACCAAGACUGGGGGUGAAGUCGUAACAAGGUAG